ensembl:lncRNA
GGCUGGAGUGCAAUGGCCGGAUCUCAGCUCACUGCAAGCUCCGCCUCCCGGGUUUACACCAUUCUCCUGCCUCAGCCUCCUGUGUAGCUGGGACUACAGGCGCCCGCCACCUCGCCCGGCUAGUUUUUUGUAUUUUUUAGUAGAGACGGGGUUUCACCGUGUUAGCCAGGAUGGUCUUGAUCUCCUGACCUUGUGAUCCACCCGUCUCGGCCUCCCAAAGUGCUGGGAUUACAGGCUUGAGCCACGGCGCCCAGCCAUAUAUACAAUUUUUAUUUGUCAAUUAUACCUCAGUAAAGCUGGAAGGGGAAAAAAAGUAGGUGAUUUUUCAGUAGGAUUAGAGCCAGGGCUCUCAGUGAGAAGUUCUGCCAAAGGCUGGAAUGGACAGGACUUUUUGGUAAAAAUGAAAAGCAAUAAACCCACCUGCGGACGACCAAGCAGGUCGUGACAUUGCAGGACUAGCAGAUGGUACCUAAAAUGUCACUGUAGCCUUUCCCACCUCACUGAUUGGCAGCUGUGGCUCAGGCUAAAACCUUGGAGGCAUCUUUAACUCCACUCUCUCUCCCUUUCACCUCACAUCCAAUCUGUCGGCAAAUCCUAAACUUCUAAAUAUAUCCAGAAUAUGACUGCUUCUCACACCUCCACUGCCAGCACCUCCAGCAGGUCCCUCAUCGUGUGCUGCCUGGAUUCUCACAGUCACCUCGCUCUGUCUCCCAGCACUACGCAGUUUCUUCUUUGCACAGCAGUCAGAACAGCUCCUUAAAAACCCAAGUCAGAUCAAGUCAGCUCCCUGCUCUGAAUCCCGAACCCUCCAGGGGCUCCUCUAUAGCAUUCAGAGUCAAAGUCAAAGUCUACAGUGCUUUGAGGCCCUACACCAUCUACCCCUGUCCAUCCCUCUGGGACCUUCAGCUCAACUGCCCCUCUAGCUGCUCCAUUCCACGCACGCCAGCCACCCUCCCCAUUCUGUGUUCCUCAAAUAUGCAGGGCCUUUGCAUUCUGUCCUCUCCCUGCAACAUGAAUCCUCAGAUAUCCUCCUGACUCGCUCCCUCAGCUCCCCCAUGUCUUUUCUCAGACAUCACCUUUGGACAUGGUUUGGAUCUGUGUCCCUGCCCAAAUCUUAUGUCAAUUUGUAAUUCCCAGUGUUGGGAAGGUGGGGCCUGGUGGGAGGUGAUUAGAUCGUGGGGGUGGAUUUCCCCACUUGGUACUAUGUUGAUGGUGAGUGAGUUCUUGUGAGAUCUGGUUGUUUAAAAGUGUAUAGUCCCUCCCUCCCUCUCUCUUCCUCCUGCUCCAGCUGUAAGAUGUGCCUGCUUCCCCUUGGCUUUCCACCAUGAUUGUAAGUUUCCUGAGGCCUCCCCAGAAACAGAAGUCGCUAUGCUUCUUGCACAGCCUGUGGAACCGCAAGCCAAUUAAACCUCUUUUCUUUAUAAAUUACCCAGUCUCAGGUGUUUCUUUAUAGCAGUACAAGAAUGGUCUAAUACACCUUCUCAGUGAGAUCUGACUCAACUUCCCGAUUCAAAAUUGUAACAUCUUCUGCCCAGCACUCCCAGCCCCUACCCUGCAGCAUUUUACCCUGUAACGCUUAUCACUUCUUACCUUUAAAUGUGUUCCUUUUCUUACCAAAGCCUAGCUUG